ACUCCUACGGGGCGCAGCAGUGGGGAAUAUUGCACAAUGGGGGAAACCCUGAUGCAGCGACGCCGCGUGAGUGAAGAAGUAAUUCGUUAUGUAAAGCUCUAUCAGCAGGGAAGAAAAUGACGGUACCUGAGUAAGAAGCCCCGGCUAACUACGUGCCAGCAGCCGCGGUAAUACGUAGGGGGCAAGCGUUAUCCGGAUUUACUGGGGGUAAAGGGAGCGUAGACGGCAGUGCAAGGCUGGAGUGAGAGGCGGUGGCUCA
rnacentral:rRNA from 1 species